AAGCUCUUUCUUCCUUUCUCGUUUGGAAAAAUGAAUGUCAAAACCACACUCCUUGAACCCUAGCUCCCACUUUCUCGAGAAAAUUCCACCUGCACAUUCCCAGUAAAGGCAUAAAAAAUGCCGUCACUAAUCUCCCAGGGCAAAAUCCACCGCUUAGAGCUGGAAAAUUUCAAGUCCUACAAGGGAUUCCAGACCAUCGGUCCAUUCUAUGACUUCACGGCGAUUAUUGGUCCAAACGGCGCGGGAAAGUCCAAUCUCAUGGACGCCAUAAGCUUUGUUCUCGGUGUUCGUACGGGCCAGCUUCGCGGAGCACAAUUGAAGGACUUGAUCUACGCCUUUGACGACAAAGAGAAGGAACAAAAGGGUCGAAGGGCUUUUGUGAGGCUUGUGUACCAGCUGGGUAAUGGGUCGGAGCUCCAAUUCACACGGGCCAUCACCAGUUCCGGCGGCAGUGAGUACCGAAUCGAUGGAAAAAUGGUUUCGUGGGAUGAGUAUAAUGGGAAACUGAAGUCGCUGGGGAUUCUCGUCAAAGCGCGGAAUUUUCUUGUUUUUCAGGGUGAUGUGGAGUCAAUUGCAUCUAAAAAUCCCAAAGAACUUACAGGACUUCUUGAGCAGAUCUCUGGGUCUGAGGAUCUCAAGAAAGAUUAUGAGGAUCUUGAAGAGCAAAAGGCCAGGGCUGAAGAAAAGUCAGCACUUGUUUAUCAGAAAAAAAGAACAAUAGUGAUGGAAAGAAAGCAGAAGAAAGAACAGAAAGAAGAGGCUGAAAAACAUCUCCGCUUGCAAGAGCAACUGAAAUCCUUGAAGAAAGAACACUUUCUAUGGAAGUUACUGAACAUAGAAAAGGAUAUUGCCAAGAUAAAUGAGGAUCUUGAAGCUGAGAACAAAAGCCGUAAAGAUGUUAUUCAAGAACAAGAAAGUUGUGAGCGUGAAGCAAGUAAAGCGAAGAAAGAACAAGCCAAAUAUCUGAAAGAGAUUACUCAAUUUGAGAAGAAGAUCUCAGACAAAAAUAAUAAACUUGACAAGAAUCAACCAGAACUUCUGAAAUUAAAGGAGGAAAUGUCACGCAUAAAUUCAAAAAUCAAAAGCAGCCGUAAGGAGCUUGACAAAAAGAGAGAAGAAAGGAGGAAGCAUGCCUAUGAUAUUGAAAAGCUACGGAAUGACUUGCAAGAUGUGGCUAAAAGCCUGGAUGAUGUGAAUGAAAAAGUUCAAGAUGGCGGGGUAAAGCUUCAAUUAGCUGACAGUCAACUAAAGGAAUAUAACCGAAUUAAGGAGGAUGCUGGAAUGAAAACUGCAAAGCUCAGAGAUGAGAAAGAGCUUCUAGAUAGACAACAGCAUGCUGAUACUGAAGCACGAAAGAAUUUGGAAGAAAAUCUUCAAGAGCUGACAAAUAGGAAGGAAGAACUAGAUUCACAGGAGGAACAAAUGCAAACAAGACUGAAAAAUAUUCUUGAUGCAUCUGUCAAACAUAAGAAAGAUCUCACACAAGAGAAAAAGGAUCUACGUGAGAUGCAAGAUAAACUUGGGGCUUCUAGGAAAAAACAUCAAAAAUAUAAGUUGAGAAUUAGUGAAAUAGAAGACCAACUACGGGAAUUGAAGGCUGAUAGACAUGAAAAUGAGAGGGAUGCCCGGUUGUCUCAAGCGGUUGAGACACUCAAGCGCCUCUUUCCAGGAGUCCAUGGUCGAAUGACUGAACUUUGUAGACCAACACAGAAGAAGUAUAACCUUGCUGUUACUGUUGCUAUGGGUAAAUUUAUGGAUGCUGUAGUAGUUGAGGAUGAACACACUGGAAAGGAAUGCAUCAAGUAUUUAAAAGAGCAAAGGCUUCCUCCUCAGACAUUUAUACCUCUUCAGUCAGUCCGGGUAAAGCCAAUUGUGGAGAAAUUACGCACCUUGGGUGGUACUGCCAAGCUGGUCUUUGAUGUUAUCCAAUUUGAUCCAGCCUUGGAGAAGGCUAUUCUAUUUGCUGUUGCCAAUACUUUAGUAUGUGAUGACCUUGAGGAAGCUAAGGUUCUUAGCUGGAGUGGAGAGAGGUUUAAAGUUGUAACUGUCGAUGGGAUUCUACUCACAAAAUCUGGCACAAUGACUGGUGGUACCAGUGGUGGAAUGGAAGCAAGAUCAAAACAGUGGGAUGAUAAAAAAGUUGAAGGACUUAAAAAACAAAAAGAACAGUAUGAAUCUGAGUUGGAGCAGCUUGGAUCAAUAAGAGAGAUGCAGCUAAAAGUGUCUGAAUUAUCUGGGAAAAUUAGUGGGCUUGAAAAAAAGAUUCAGUAUGCAGAGAUUGAGAAGAAAAGUAUAGAUGACAAACUUGCAAAACUGAGGCAGGAAAAGCGGAAUAUUUCAGAAGAAAUUAGCCGUAUCAAUCCUGAGCUUCGAAAGUUGAAAGAUGUUAUUGAUAAGAGGGCCACAGAAAUCAGAAAGCUGGAGAAGAGGAUCAAUGAGAUCGUUGACCGAAUUUACAAGGAUUUCAGUGAGUCUGUUGGGGUGAAAAACAUUCGUGAGUAUGAAGAAAACCAACUCAUGGCAGCACAACAGGUGGCUGAAGAAAAGCUUAGUUUGAGUAACCAGAUGGCAAAGUUGAAAUACCAGUUGGAGUAUGAGCAAAGGAGGGACAUGGACUCACGAAUUACAAAGCUGGAAUCUUCUAUCAGUUCUUUAGAAAAUGAUCUAAAACAGGUUCAGAAGAAAGAGGCUGAAGCCAAGUUAACAAUGGAGAAAGCUACUGGUGAUGUUGAUCAAUUGAAAGAUGAAGUACAAGAGUGGAAGUCCAAGUCCGAAGAGUGUGAGAAGGAAAUCCAGAAGUGGAAGAAGCGGGCUUCUACUGCUGCAGGAAGCAUAAGCAAACUUAAUCGUCAGAUAAGUUUGAAGGAAACACAGGGUGAACAACUGAAAUUGCAGAAGCAGGAGAUCUUGGAGAAGUGUGAAGUAGAGCAUAUAAUCCUACCUACUGUCUCAGACGCAAUGGAAAUCGGAUCCUCAAUGCCAAGUCCAGUUUUUGAUUUUAGUCAGCUAAAUAGAUCUCAUCAGGUAGAUAUGAGACCUUCUGAAAGAGAGAAGGUUGAAGUGGAAUUUAAGCAAAAAAUGGAUGCCCUAAUAUCAGAAAUAGAAAGAACAGCUCCAAAUUUGAAGGCCUUGGACCAGUAUGAGGCUUUGCAAGAGAAGGAAAGACAUGUAACUGAAGAGUUUGAAGUAGCCAGAAAGGAAGAGAAGGAAAUAACUGAUAAGUACAAUUCCGUUAAGCAGAGAAGGUAUGAACUCUUUAUGGAAGCAUUUAGUCAUAUUUCUGGUAAUAUUGAUAAGAUCUACAAACAGCUAACAAAAAGCAACACACACCCAUUGGGCGGAACGGCAUAUUUGAACUUAGAAAAUGAGGAUGAUCCUUUCUUACAUGGCAUCAAGUACACUGCUAUGCCCCCAACAAAGCGCUUCCGUGAUAUGGAACAGCUGUCUGGUGGUGAGAAAACUGUUGCAGCACUUGCAUUGCUCUUCUCUAUCCAUAGUUAUAGGCCUUCUCCUUUUUUUAUAUUGGAUGAAGUCGAUGCUGCAUUGGACAAUCUGAAUGUUGCUAAGGUUGCUGGAUUCAUCCGAUCAAAAUCAUGUGAAGGAGCAAGGGGUAAUCAGGAUGGUGAGGGAGGCAGUGGUUUUCAGAGUAUCGUGAUAUCACUGAAGGAUAGCUUUUAUGACAAGGCUGAAGCUCUGGUUGGGGUUUACAGGGACUCUGAUAGGGGCUGCUCGAGAACUCUGACAUUUGACCUGACCAAUUAUAGAGAAGCAUGAACGCCUCCUCGCUGGAGGCUGGGCUUCAGGUUAAAACUAUUUGUCAUGUUAAUAGAUUUGUGUGAUAGGGAUGAUGCUGAAAACCUCAAGUCAUACUCAAGAGAAUCAUAGUGGGUUCACUCUCUAAUCAUCAACUCCUAAAAUGAAUGAUAAUGGCCGAACUGAGCUGGUAAGAUUUGAUGCACUUCACCAUUAAAAUGAACAUUAUUGUAGCCCCAUGAUCAUGCCUCAACUGUCUGUCAAAAUGCUAUGAUGGUUGGUAGUAUAUGCUAUAUACACAUUUCUUAAAGGUGGGUAUUGGUGAGGGAUUGAGGCUUGAACCCUCAAUGCCAAAUACGUCCAAGGAUGCCUUCACUCAGUUGAUUUUCUAUUCCAAUUCAAAGGCAGAAAUAGGAAGGGAACUAAAGGUGAGCUACAAUACCAUCAUAAAAAUGAAUUUCCUAUUCUUUGUUGUAUUACUAACUAGUAAUUCAAACAUGUAAUAAAUGAGAUAUGAAAUGGUUUUUUUUCUAA